AGUCAUGCCGGUGGGAAAUCAGCCUCUCGGGAAACCUGGGGGUGCACUUUCUCGCAGGGCAGGUCAGCGUCAGUUUCGCCAGUCGUAAAAAGUCCGUCGGAAUGUGACUCCUUUCGGAGUGUUAUAGCCAGCGGUCAAUGCGACGUGCGGGAUUGAGGAUUGCAGCGGGUGCCUUUCGGGGCUAAGUGCCUGAUCCUUGUUCGUGGUCGUCUUGGUAACAGCGUGCUGGUGCCGAGCCCGAUUCGUGGACACGGGGUUUAGCGUCACGGUAAA
rnacentral:rRNA from 1 species